AACGAACGCUGGCGGCAUGCCUAACACAUGCAAGUCGAACGAGACCUUCGAGUCUAGUGGCGCACGGGUGCGUAACGCGUGGGAACCUGCCCUUAGGUUCGGAAUAACUCCCCGAAAGGGGUGCUAAUACCGGAUAAUGUCUUCGGACCAAAGAUUUAUCGCCUUUGGAUGGGCCCGCGUUGGAUUAGCUAGUUGGUAGGGUAAAAGCCUACCAAGGCGACGAUCCAUAGCUGGUCUGAGAGGAUGAUCAGCCACACUGGGACUGAGACACGGCCCAGACUCCUACGGGAGGCAGCAGUGGGGAAUAUUGGAAAAUGGGCGAAAGGCUGAUCCAGCAAUGCCGCGUGAGUGAUGAAGGCCUUAGGGUUGUAAAGCUCUUUUACCCGGGAUGAUAAUGACAGUACCGGGAGAAUAAGCGCCGGCUAACUCCGUG
rnacentral:rRNA from 1 species